AUGAGAUUCUGUAUUGGCCAACUCUUUCUAACUAUCACUAGGCCGGAUACUCCGAUUCUCUGUGGACGAUUUCCUUCUCUCCCGUCCAAUGCCCUUUGGUCUCGAGGAUCACCAUUUGGUGGGGUUGGGGUCACAUCCGAAGUCGUAUUGGAGAAUUGA
rnacentral:rRNA from 1 species